ensembl:lncRNA
GUGGGGAAAGAACCCCAAAGUCCACUGCCCAGCCUACAGUCUAAACUCCAGACCAGAGCCCUAGACUAAGGCCCAGCAAGGCUAAAAGUAUCUAGAGUCAGAGAGAAUAGCCACUGGGACAACAUGGGGCAGAGAAUGCCUGAGCCCAAGGCAGGUGCCUGGCACCUCUGAGGGGUUAAACUCAGAAUCUCGCACCAAAUGCUGGGGGCCAAGGAGAGUUCCCAGUCAGUCACUGUGGGAGGCCCAAGUGCUCUCCAACUGCCACGCCCAGCAAUGCUCCCCAGCUUUCUCCCAGACAUCCUAGCAGCCCGAUCACUUCGGCUCGCUGCCCUUCCCCCAGGCAUUUGCUGGUUACUAACCCCAUUCACAGAAAAGCCAGGAGUAGGAGAAUGGAAAGAAGAGAGCAAUUGUUUGGAAGAUUCUGAAUGGAGAAGUUUCAGGAUUGCCCACUGAGUAAGGAAAAUGGUCUCUGUGGGAAGGGAAGGGGGUUGGGGUAAGGUCAGAAGGAGGUAGCCCACAUCUGACUUACCUGGGAGGCAGAGAAGGGGUUAAAUCCUAUUUUCCUUGCUGCAUCUGGUUUCCAAUAACCAGCCUGGUGAUGAUUCAUGACAAGACCAGGAUCAUGUCCUAUCAAGCAGCAUUUGCAGUCACAAAACCACAUAAACUGGUGGCUCAACGGCACCUAUGAGAGGGAGGAGGCAAAUAUCCAGCCCCCUCUACCCUAUACCACCAGCGUAACACGCUCAUUCACCACCCAACUCCUCCUGAGGAUGGCUGACCCUUUUCUGCCUGAUCUAAGCCAGAUUUCCAGAAACUCCCAACGGGAGUGAGGGCGGAGAACAGAUAGCUCCCGGAUGCCUGUAGCUGAGUUUGCCCUCAUAUAUCCUUAAAAAAUCAAAGGAAGGAGAAGGAAGAGGUGGAGGAAGGCAGGGAAGACAACAGGUCCAGAAGAAGGAAGAGAGAGGUCAAUAGACAUCCUUGGGCGAAGCAAGGCAGACAGGAAACCAAGAAGACAUACGGGGCUGGUCUUCACCGUAGGCCACACCGUGACUUCAGCCACACUGUGUGCCCCAGCCUCUCCUCCUCCAAACCCAAAAUCCAUCGAGAACCCUCAGCCCCUCCUGGCCCUCAUCCCACAUCAGUACCCUCAUCCACAUGACUUUUGAAUCUAUUGCCAUCUGAAAUAAGAGAAAGGAAAGCAAGCUUGGCAAGGCUGAACCAGACAUAGACGCACACACACGCACCCCUUCCCAGAAUGAAAGGCCCCUCAGAGACGGCUCACACUCUCGAGGUUCCGGCUCUCUGAUAGAAGUGCUCCUCUCCCACUGGGGAGGGCGGACACGGCCGAUAAGAAUUGCUUAGCACAAUGCUAUAUAUAGUCUAGGUUCCUACCGGCCUAGAGAUUUGGAGCUAGAACUUGGCAGAGAACCAUGCUAGAUGCUGGCAAGAACCAGCCUCCCCCAGGCAGCCAACUGUGAGCCUCACCUCCCUGCUGGGGCAGUGAGGGCAAGCAGGGUCCUCCCCCUCGGCCCAUUAACACCCUGCACUGAGGGACACUGGCUUUUGGCUCCGUUUUAGGAAAAAUCAACUGCUCCUGAAUGUGAGGGGGACGUGUGGGGACUGAACGCUGAGUUCUAGCCUCUCUGCAGCCCUCCAGCAGCACUAGAAAAUCGAUCUUGUCCUCUCUUAUGGAGGACCAAGGGCGGGGGUGGCAGGAAAAAAAAUGGAGAAGACACAGCAGCUGUCUGGGUUCGAUAAACAUCUAUCCACUUCCAGUGUUUGAAGGAAUAAAAGAACGCAAACGAAUACUUACUGCAGAGAACCAGGCUGCCAGGCGUCCCCUUUUUUUUGCUCCAAAUAAAUGCAAACGGGCCCUUCUAUCCGACAGUAUGACGCUGUCUUCUGCAUACCACCAUCCUCAGCUGAGCCUGAGUCUCCAGGAGGCUGUCACCUACUCAUGGAGCUGAAGUCCUCUGAGUUCUCUGUAGGGAAGAAGUGAAGGGAAGACAGGUGGGCUCAGCUCACAGGGCCAACCAAGCAAUGAAUUGUGUAGGCCCCAAUCAAGGUCGCAUCUGGGGUUAAUAUGUAGCCCUGGGACCAUGGCCCUCAGCUGCUGCUCACCAUCCAAUGACACAAGCAAGACAACACUGGGCCCAUCGUCCUGGAGAAAGGCCAGUACCAGUGGGCACAGGGGUCUCAUCAAGGAGGGCCUGUCCAUCACCUCUUUCAGAAAACAAACCUGAAGGACAACAGAGCUCUCUGCAGUACAGAACCUGGGCUCUCUCUAUGCACAGCUUCUGGACAAAGAAAUAUGAGAUGCAAAGGCUUCAACACCCACAUAUAUAUAAUUUUUUUAGGUCAAGUUGCUCUCUACUCAGGCUCAAAAAGACAUGAUGCAAAGGGCUGGGGGUGCCUUUGCACUCUGGGUGGGGACAGCUGGCUUCCAUCCCUUGCCCUGUCUAACUCUCUGCUGUGACCUGGGCCAGGUCUCCCUGCUCCCUUAGGCUCCCAAGACCCCAAAGCCAAUCCUUCCAGUGAUCCCAAAUGAGUCACCGCGGGAGGUCCUUGGGGAGAGGAUAGGGUGCUCAGUGACAAACGUCAGUGCUAGCAUCAUCUAUGGGAAAGCAUGAGACUGAAAAAUGGUACAUGGAGAAAGGAGGCCAGGAGCUUCCAGGCCAGGCUGUCCCUCAUUUCCCACGACAAGUUGUUUGCUUCUCUGCCCCCAAACACUGGCCAAGGGAGAGAGAGGAGAGAAAGAGAAGCCGUACGCUAGGGAUGAGGGUUUGGCCAUGAUGCAGUGGCAAUGGAGGCCCAUCUUCUCUCUUGCUCCCAAGAAGGCAUGGCGGGCUGGGCGGGGCCAGACGGGCGGGGCAGAGGGGGAUGUCACGCGCACGUAGCGCAAUGCUGCAGAUUCAAGAAAAGUCUAGAACCCUGAGCCGCCAUGAUGACACACACACGCAAAACGGUCAAGAACUCAAGGCCCACUAUUUCACCUAAGAGGGAAGGAAAGAAGAGCAGGAUAGACAAUAAGCUUUGAUUUGGGACAAUGAGGAAAGGCUGUCCAAGAGCUGGCCUUCAGUUUAAGGCCAGUGACGUGAAUCUACCAUCUUCACAUGAUGCCAGCAGAGGAAACCUAAAACGCCGUAUCCCCAUGACGGGCACUUGCUCCUGGGGUCCUGGAGGACCCGUGUUCACUAAGAACCACCAGGUCCACCCCUAUCCCAAGAAGGGACUCACCCUCUAUGCAAGGCAACAAGCCACAGCGAGAAAUCCCAAAGGGCUUUCUGGCCCUGGGAAGAUGUCUCUCCUUUGGGACCAGUGAGAGGAGCUCAAGAAGUGACCCUAUUUGCCAAGCUCAUCUAACAACACAAACAGCUGCAUUUUCCCUUCAGAUUCUAAAAUUCAAGAGUCCACCGAGCCAUGUUGAGUUACCUGGUGUCGCCCCCACCCUGAUGUCCAGCAGUGGCCUUCUUCUCUGCCAAGCUCUUCCUGAAAACGACCCCAGCCUAAGGGUCAGCUCCGAGCCCCGACAAGCUGUUUUUGCUGCUUUCAUGUUGACAGAACGUCCUGGCCACUCGGCUGAGCGCUCCAUCUCCCGGCUCCCGACACACUGAGUCAUCAUCCAAAGAGGAAAAAAACAACAAAGCAGCCGUCACCAGGGUCCCCACUGCCGUCGGCUGACGACUCACGGGCUGUCGUCACUCUCUGCUCUGCAGCCCCGGAAUUGGUGAUGAGGGGCUUCAGGGUGCCUGACUUCCCUCCCACGGGAUGCAAUAGCGUCAGGAAGCAGACAGCCACUGCUGAGGUUCGGAAGGAAGGGAAACUAACCUGGCAUCGAAAGGCUCCCAGGAAGGCUCACCGGUUAACCCUCACUCUGCCACCACCAGUUCUCACGGCUCUGUUCCCACGGCGUUUUCCUGAUGCAGAAGUUAAAGUGGUGUUUACUCCAGGUGGGGAAAGGCAUCACCUAGCAGGCUUCAGGAUUGCAACAGUCAUUUUAGGUGCCUCUGCCCAAUUCUAGGUCUUCCUUCUAUUAACCUGAUUCUGCGUAGUGCCAAGAACAGAAAAACCCGAAUGGGAUGACCAGGAAGCAGAAAUGAAUUCAGUUCCAAAAACAUGGGAGGAUGUUUACUCAGCAAGGACGCUGGAGCCUACAAGGAAGCAGUUUUACAGGGUGCAGCAUGCGGUGCUUGAUUUCAGAGGGUAAAGAUAACUUCUGAGUGAGGAGAAGGUGCUGGCUCCUUCUGUCCGCCCCGUGAGGCCUGCGGACCCUGAGCCAGGGCAACAGUGAAAAGGCAGGGCUUCAACUCAAACCCAGCACUAUCACCAGCUCUCUUCGGCUUCUCUUCAGCGACAGGCCUCGGAAACUAUACACACUCUCCACACAUCGAGAGCUCUCCGCGGCCUCUGAC